rnacentral:rRNA from 1 species
GAUGAACGCUGGCGGCGUGCUUAACACAUGCAAGUCGAGCGAAGCACUUUACUUGGAUUUCUUCGGAAUGACGAGUAUUGUGACUGAGCGGCGGACGGGUGAGUAACGCGUGGGUAACCUGCCUCAUACAGGGGGAUAACAGUUAGAAAUGACUGCUAAUACCGCAUAAGACCACAGCACCGCAUGGUGCAGGGGCAAAAACUCCGGUGGUAUGAGAUGGACCCGCGUCUGAUUAGCUAGUUGGUGGGGUAACGGCCUACCAAGGCAACGAUCAGUAGCCGGCCUGAGAGGGCGGCCGGCCACAUUGGGACUGAGACACGGCCCAAACUCCUACGGGAGGCAGCAGUGGGGAAUAUUGCACAAUGGGGGAAACCCUGAUGCAGCGACGCCGCGUGAAGGAAGAAGUAUUUCGGUAUGUAAACUUCUAUCAGCAGGGAAGAAAAUGACGGUACCUGACUAAGAAGCCCCGGCUAACUACGUGCCAGCAGCCGCGGUAA